rnacentral:rRNA from 1 species
CACGUAGUUAGCCGGUGCUUAUUCUGCGGGUACCGUCAGUUACGCCGAGUAUUAGUCGACGCCGUUUCUUUCCCGCCAAAAGUGCUUUACAACCCGAAGGCCUUCUUCACACACGCGGAAUGGCUGGAUCAGGGUUUCCCCCAUUGUCCAAAAUUCCCCACUGCUGCCUCCCGUAGGAGUCUGGACCGUGUCUCAGUUCCAGUGUGGCUGGUCGUCCUCUCAAACCAGCUACGGAUCGUCGCCUUGGUGAGCCUUUACCUCACCAACUAGCUAAUCCGAUAUCAGCCGCUCCAAUAGUGGGAGGUCCGAAGAUCCCCCCCUUCCCGUACGGGCGGUACUGCGGUAUUAGCUACUCUUUCGUAGUAAUUAUCCCCCGCCUACUGGGUACGGUUCCGACUACUAUUACUUCACCCGUUCCGUCCACCUCGCCACCACGACCGAACGUCCGUCGCUGCCGUUCGACUUGUCAUGUGUAAGGCGACUUCCGCUAGCGUUCUAAUCUGAGCCAGGAUCAAACUCU